rnacentral:tRNA from 1 species
GCCCGGUUAGCUCAGAGGCCAGAGCUGCGCUUUUGUAAAGCGAGGGUCGGGGGUUCGACUCCCUCACCGGGCACCA